rnacentral:rRNA from 1 species
CCUACGGGAGGCAGCAGUGAGGAAUAUUGGUCAAUGGGCGCGAGCCUGAACCAGCCAAGUCGCGUGAGGGAAGACGGCCCUAUGGAUUGUAAACCUCUUUUGUCGGGGAGCAAAAGACGCCACGCGUGGCGUUCCGAGUGUACCCGAAGAAAAAGCAUCGGCUAACUCCGUGCCAGCAGCCGCGGUAAUACGGAGGAUGCGAGCGUUAUCCGGAUUUAUUGGGUUUAAAGGGUGCGCAGGCGGAAGGUCAAGUCAGCGGUAAAAUUGGGGGGCUCAACCUCUUCGAGCCGUUGAAACUGGUUGUCUUGAGUGAGCGAGAGGUAUGCGGAAUGCGUGGUGUAGCGGUGAAAUGCAUAGAUAUCACGCAGAACUCCGAUUGCGAAGGCAGCAUACCGGCGCUCAACUGACGCUGAUGCACGAAAGUGUGGGUAUCGAACAGGAUUAGAUACCCGAGUAGUC